CAACGCCGCGUGAGGGACGAAGGCCUUCGGGUUGUAAACCUCUUUCAGCAGGGACGAUUGUGACGGUACCUGCAGAAGAAGCCCCGGCCAACUACGUGC
rnacentral:rRNA from 1 species